CUGGAGCAGAGGUUGUUACGUUUGCUACGGUUGAAGCCACAGUGGUGGAGGUUGGUGUAGUUGUAGUUGUUGUUAGUGGAGCUACGGUGGUUGUAGUUGUUGUUGUUGUUGGUGGAGCUACGGUGGUUGUAGUUGUAGUAGUUGUUGGUGGAGCUACGGUGGUUGUAGUUGUCGUAGUUGUAGUUGUUGUAGUUGUAGGUAGAGCUACGGUGGUUUGCAGAGU